ensembl:ncRNA C34H3.6 ncRNA
UAUAGCGGGACGAACAAAGAGCGGGCGACGGACCCCCCGAAGGACGAGUCUCUCCAGAGAGGAAGAGAGCAUUGCUUGCUGCUUCUUCUUCUUCUCUCUUUCCAACAGCUUCUCCUUACUGCUUUAGCGCGCAGUGCCGCACACUACUAGCAGAAAACUCUCCCUUUUUUGGCGCCAACGGAUGGCGUAGAGCAGCCGCCAUCUGCCGCUUCCUCUCCAUCCACUUUUACCAGAAAUCCGCGGAAGGCGGACCCUCUUAUUUUGGGCUCCCUCCUGCUGCUAGUGUUUG